CCAGGCUGGCCAGCUAUUCCAAGGAGGAAGGUAGAGAAACUGACGUCCGGAAAGGGGACCGAGCUGUUCAGGGUCAUCCGGCUCUCUACUCUUUAUAGGACUAGAAACCAGAAUGCUGACUCUUAGUACUUCAUCUAAACUGUCUUCUGGCUCCACAUUUGCAUGCAGGAGGAGAACUAGGAAAGCAAGACAGGGCAUUCCUGGCACCAUGGAGGACAUUUGAGAGGCUUGAAUUCCUCUAAUCUCUGGACGUUGGGAGAAGAUACUAC